rnacentral:rRNA from 1 species
UACGUAGGGUGCGAGCGUUGUCCGGAAUUACUGGGCGUAAAGAGCGUGUAGGCGGCCAGGUAGGUCCGUUGUGAAAACUCGAGGCUCAACCUCGAGACGCCGAUGGAAACCAUCUGGCUAGAGUCCGGAAGAGGAGAGUGGAAUUCCCGGUGUAGCGGUGAAAUGCGCAGAUAUCGGGAAGAACACCCGUGGCUAAGGCGGCUCUCUAGUACGGUACUGACGCUGAGACGCGAAAGCGUGGGGAGCGAACAGG